rnacentral:lncRNA from 1 species
UUUACCCAUCUGUAAAAAUGAGCUGAGAAGGAAAUGGCAAACCCCUCCAAUAUCUCUGCCAAGAAAAUUCCGAAUGGGCUCACAGAAAGUUGGACAGACAGGAAUGAAACAAUGAACAGCAAAGUGAGCGCCAGAGAAGGGAAGCAAGAGGGCAGAAGUUCUGAUGGUCAGCCUGCUCUGUCAGCUCCUGCACCUGAGGGAAUGUUUUCAGCCAGUGGCUCCUGGGCCGCAGGAGGGACAGGCCCAGGAGGAGAAUGGCCAUAGGAAUGAGCAGCCCGGGCCAGCCCUGGAAGCUUGUCCGGCCCCCGGCCAGGAGGGACAAAGGAGGGAAGGCAGCCAGUUGGAGGAUUGAGGUUCAAGAGCUACAAUGAUACUUGCCCAAAAGUAAGAGAGUAGAGGAUCAGAAUUCGAACCCAGGUGUCCUGCUGGAGAGAGCCGUGCCUCUCUGAGAACCCGACAUCCCCCUCCUCUCUUUUUCAGGCAUAGGAUUUUCACCUUUUUGUUUGUUUGCUUGCUUGCUUAUGUUUUUUUUCUUUUGGUCUGAUUUUUCUUGUACAACAUGAC